GACAGAGGGUGCAACGUUGCUCGGAAUUACUGGGCGUAAAGCGCGUGUAGGUGGAUUGGUGUGUCAGAUGUGAAAGCCCUGGGCUCAACCCAGGAAUUGCACCUGAAACUACCAGUCUUGAGUGGUGGAGAGGGAAGUGGAAUUCCUGGUGUAGAGGUGAAAUUCGUAGAUAUCAGGAGGAACACCAGUGGCGAAGGCGGCUCCUGGACACCAACUGACGCUGAGACGCGAAAGCGUGGGGAGCAAACAGG
rnacentral:rRNA from 1 species